rnacentral:rRNA from 1 species
AGGGGGUAUUGCACCUACCGAAGACUAUCAAACUCCGAAUGCCGUCAUCUUAUACUUGGGAGUCAGACUGUGGGUGAUAAGAUUCAUAGUCGAAAGGGCAACAGCCCAGAUCGUCAGCUAAGGUCCCUAAAUGUAAGUUAAGUGGUAAAGGAUGUGGGAUUGCACAGACAACCAGGAUGUUGGCUUAGAAGCAGCCACUCAUUCAAAGAGUGCGUAAUAGCUCACUGGUCGAGUGAUCCUGCGCCGAAGAUUUCCGGGGCUAAAACUUACUACCGAAGCUACGGCAUCAGUAAUGAUGGGUAGGGGAGCUUCCCAUACGGGUUGAAGCAUGACCGUAAGGACAUGUGGACAGUAUGGGAGUGAGAAUGUUGGCAUGAGUAGCGAGAUGUGGGUGAGAAUCCCACAGGCCGUAAACCCAAGGUUUCCAGGGGAAGGUUCGUCCGCCCUGGGUUAGUCGGGACCUAAGCUGAGGCCGAAAGGCGUAGGUGAUGGACAACAGGUUGAUAUUCCUGUACUACCGAUAACCGUUUGAGAGAAGGGAUGACACAGUAGGAUAAGCUAAGCACACUGUUGGUUAUGUGUGCCCAAGCAUUGAGGCAGUCAAAGUAGGCAAAUCCGCUUUGAUAAUGCUGGGAUGUGAUGGGGAGCGAAAUUUAGUAGCGAAGUAGCUGAUUUCACACUGUCAAGAAAAGUCUCUAUCGAGGUUAAAGGUACCCGUACCGCAAACCGACACAGGUGGGUGAGGAGAGUAUCCUAAGGCCAGCGAGAGAACUGUUGUUAAGGAACUCGGCAAAAUGACCCCGUAACUUAGGGAUAAGGGGUGCCACCAUCAGGUGGCCGCAGAGAAUAGGCCCAAGCGACUGUUUACCAAAAACAUAGGUUUCUGCUAAGUCGCAAGACGAUGUAUAGGAGCUGACGCCUGCCCGGUGCUGGAAGGUUAAGGGGAUCUGUUAGAGCAAUCGAAGCAGUGAACUUAAGCCCCAGUAAACGGCGGCCGUAACUAUAACGGUCCUAAGGUAGCGAAAUUCCUUGUCGGGUAAGUUCCGACCCGCACGAAAGGCGUAACGAUUUGGGCACUGUCUCAACAACAGACUCGGUGAAAUUGUAAUUCCGGUGAAGAUGCCGGAUACCUGCGACAGGACGGAAAGACCCCAUGGAGCUUUACUGUAGCUUGACAUUGGGUCUUGGUACUACAUGUACAGGAUAGGUGGGAGGCUUUGAAACCAGGACGCCAGUUUUGGCGGAGCCAUCCUUGGGAUACCACCCUUGUAGUACUGGGACUCUAACCAUAGGCCAUGAAUCUGGUCUUGGGACACUGUCAGGUGGGCAGUUUGACUGGGGCGGUCGCCUCCCAAAAGGUAACGGAGGCGCUCAAAGGUUCUCUCAGUACGGUCGGAAAUCGUACGUAGAGUGUAAAGGCAAAAGAGAGCUUGAUUGCAAGACAUACAGGUCGAGCAAGGAUGAAAAUCGGACUUAGUGAUCCGGUGGUUCUGCGUGGAAGGGCCAUCGCUCAACGGAUAAAAGCUACCCUGGGGAUAACAGGCUUAUCUCCCCCAAGAGUCCACAUCGACGGGGAGGUUUGGCACCUCGAUGUCGGCUCAUCACAUCCUGGGGCUGUAGUAGGUCCCAAGGGUUGGGCUGUUCGCCCAUUAAAGUGGUACGCGAGCUGGGUUCAGAACGUCGUGAGACAGUUCGGUCCCUAUCCGUCGCAGGCGUAGGAAAUUUGAGAAGACCUGUCCUUAGUACGAGAGGACCGGGAUGGACGUACCUCUGGUGUACCAGUUGUCCUGCCAAGGGCAUGGCUGGGUAGCUAUGUACGGAAUGGAUAAGCGCUGAAAGCAUCUAAGCGCGAAGCCAACUUCAAGAUAAGAUUUCCCACCGCAAGGGUAAGACCCCAGAAAGACUAUCUGGUUGAUAGGUCGAAGGUGUAAGUGCAGCAAUGUAUUUAGCUUAUCGAUACUAAUAGGUCGAGGACUUGACC